AUGAACGCUGGCGGCGUGCUUAACACAUGCAAGUCGAACGGGAUCCAAGGGGUGCUUGCACUUUUUGGUGAGCGUGGCGAACGGGUGAGUAACACGUGAGUAACCUGUCCUUUUCUUUGGGAUAAGCAUUCGAAAGGGUGUUUAAUACCUUAUGUUCUGUCUGCCUCGCAUGGGGUGGGUGGGAAAGGCUUUGGCCGGAUUUGGGUGGGCUCGCGGUCUAUCAGCUUGUUGGUGGGGUGAUGGCUUACCAAGGCUUUGACGGGUAGCCGGCCUGAGAGGGUGGUCGGUCACAUUGGGACUGAGAUACGGCCCAGACUCCUGCGGGAGGCAGCAGUGGGGGAAAUUGCACAAUGGGCGAAAGCCUGAUGCAGCGACGCCGCGUGGGGGAUGAAGGCCUUCGGGGUGUAAACUUCUUUUGCUCUGAACAAGGCAUGCCAGUGGGUGUGUUGAGUGUAGGGGUUGAUUAGCGCCGGCUAACUACGUG
rnacentral:rRNA from 1 species